AGUUAGCAUCUCAGGCAAGAUUCUUAAUGUCCUUUGGACUCGCAGCACUGUAGGCUCUACUUUAUCCAGAAUCCACGUGUGGGCAGUGAUUCAGGGCUUCAGGAUCUCUCUCACCGGCCCAAGGAUCCAAGGCAGUCAGUGCAAAACCUGGCCAGCAGCCCGAGUGAGUAGGAGCCAUGUGACUCUGGUGAGUUGGAGUGUGCAGUUGCCUCCUGCUUCAGAGCUACCUGAUCCGAAUACUAAGCAGAGCGAGUGCCGGGCUGAGUGGAGACACCGAAGACACUGCAGAGAAAGGUGCUUUUUCCAGAGGUGUCACAGGACAUGGAGAUUAAAGACCAGGGGGCCCAAAUGGAGCCGCUGCUGCCAACGAGAAAUGAUGAAGAAGCAGUUGUGGAUAGAGGUGGAACACGUUCUAUUCUCAAAACACAUUUUGAGAAAGAAGAUUUAGAAGGUCAUCGAACAUUAUUUAUUGGAGUUCAUGUGCCCCUGGGUGGAAGAAAGAGCCAUCGUCGCCACAGACAUCGUGGUCAUAAGCACAGAAAAAGGGACAGAGAGAGAGAUUCUGGACUAGAGGAUGGAAGAGAGUCACCUUCUUUUGAUACCCCAUCACAGCGGGUGCAGUUUAUUCUUGGAACUGAGGAUGAUGACGAGGAGCACAUUCCUCAUGACCUUUUCACAGAACUGGAUGAAAUUUGCUGGCGUGAAGGGGAAGAUGCAGAGUGGCGAGAAACAGCUAGGUGGUUGAAGUUUGAAGAAGACGUGGAAGAUGGAGGAGAAAGAUGGAGCAAGCCCUAUGUGGCCACACUUUCAUUGCACAGCUUGUUUGAGUUGAGAAGCUGUGUUCUGAAUGGAACUGUGCUGCUGGACAUGCGUGCCAAUACUUUAGAAGAAAUUGCAAAUAUGGUCCUUGACCAGCAGGUCAGCUCAGGGCAGCUGAAUGAAGAUGUACGUCACAGGGUUCACGAAGCAUUGAUGAAGCAGCAUCAUCACCAGAAUCAGAAAAAACUCACUAACAGGAUACCCAUUGUCCGAUCUUUUGCUGAUAUUGGCAAGAAACAGUCAGAACCAAAUUCCAUGGAUAAAAAUGCAGGUCAGGUUGUUUCUCCUCAAUCUGCUCCAGCCUGUGCUGAGAAUAAAAAUGAUGUUAGCAGGGAAAACAGCACUGUUGACUUUAGCAAGGGACUGGGAGGCCAACAAAAGGGGCAUAAUAGUCCAUGUGGGAUGAAACAAAGGCAUGAAAAAGGACCUCCACACCAGCAAGAGAGAGAGGUGGAUCUGCAUUUUAUGAAAAAGAUUCCGCCGGGUGCUGAGGCUUCAAAUAUCUUGGUAGGAGAAUUGGAGUUCCUGGACAGAACUGUAGUUGCCUUUGUCAGGCUGUCUCCAGCUGUCUUGCUCCAAGGACUGGCUGAAGUUCCAAUCCCAAGCAGAUUUCUGUUCAUUCUUCUGGGACCCCUGGGAAAGGGUCAGCAGUACCAUGAGAUUGGCAGAUCGAUUGCAACCUUAAUGACUGAUGAGGUAUUUCAUGAUGUUGCUUACAAAGCUAAAGACCGUAAUGACUUGGUGUCAGGAAUUGAUGAGUUUCUGGAUCAGGUUACAGUCCUCCCUCCCGGAGAAUGGGACCCAAGCAUCCGAAUAGAACCUCCCAAAAACGUCCCUUCCCAGGAAAAGAGGAAGAUUCCUGCUGUACCAAAUGGAACAGCAGCUCAUGGCGAAGCUGAGCCACACGGGGGACAUAGUGGACCUGAACUCCAGCGAACUGGAAGGAUCUUUGGGGGACUUAUAUUAGAUAUCAAAAGAAAAGCUCCAUUCUUCUGGAGUGACUUCAGAGAUGCUUUCAGCCUGCAAUGCUUAGCCUCUUUCCUGUUUCUCUACUGUGCGUGUAUGUCUCCUGUCAUCACAUUCGGAGGACUGUUGGGAGAAGCCACUGAAGGUCGAAUAAGUGCAAUCGAAUCACUCUUUGGAGCGUCUAUGACUGGGAUAGCUUACUCUCUUUUUGGUGGACAACCCCUUACCAUAUUAGGCAGUACAGGACCUGUUCUGGUCUUUGAAAAGAUUUUGUUUAAAUUUUGCAAAGAAUAUGGGCUGUCCUACUUGUCUUUAAGAGCCAGCAUCGGGCUUUGGACUGCAACCCUAUGCAUCAUACUUGUGGCCACCGAUGCGAGUUCCCUUGUCUGCUAUAUCACCCGGUUUACUGAAGAAGCCUUUGCAUCUCUCAUCUGCAUCAUUUUUAUCUAUGAAGCCCUGGAGAAGUUGUUUGAGCUCAGUGAAGCCUAUCCAAUCAAUAUGCACAACGAUUUGGAACUGCUGACGCAGUACUCAUGUAACUGUAUGGAGCCACAUAGUCCCAGCAAUGAUACACUGAAGGAAUGGAGGGAGUCCAAUAUUUCUGCCUCUGACAUAAUUUGGGGGAACCUAACUGUGUCAGAGUGCAGAUCACUGCACGGGGAGUAUGUCGGGCGAGCCUGUGGCCAUGGCCACCCCUACGUGCCCGAUGUCCUCUUCUGGUCGGUGAUCCUGUUCUUCUCCACCGUUACUAUGUCAGCCACCCUGAAGCAGUUCAAGACCAGCCGUUAUUUCCCAACCAAGGUUCGAUCCAUAGUGAGUGAUUUUGCAGUUUUUCUUACAAUUCUGUGUAUGGUUUUAAUUGACUAUGCCAUUGGGAUCCCAUCACCGAAACUACAAGUACCAAGUGUUUUCAAGCCUACCAGAGAUGACCGUGGAUGGUUUGUUACGCCUUUAGGGCCAAACCCGUGGUGGACAAUUAUAGCUGCUAUUAUCCCAGCUUUGCUUUGUACUAUCCUAAUUUUCAUGGACCAACAGAUCACAGCUGUCAUAAUCAACAGAAAAGAGCAUAAGCUAAAGAAAGGCUGUGGCUAUCACCUGGAUCUGCUAAUGGUGGCUGUCAUGCUCGGGGUGUGCUCCAUUAUGGGGCUGCCGUGGUUUGUGGCCGCCACAGUCCUCUCUAUCACUCAUGUCAACAGCCUGAAGCUGGAAUCAGAGUGCUCUGCUCCAGGAGAACAGCCCAAGUUUCUCGGCAUUAGAGAGCAGAGGGUGACUGGCCUCAUGAUUUUUAUUCUUAUGGGUUCAUCAGUUUUUAUGACCAGUAUUCUGAAGUUUAUCCCCAUGCCAGUGUUAUAUGGAGUAUUUCUUUAUAUGGGUGCUUCAUCUCUAAAGGGAAUUCAGUUAUUUGAUAGAAUAAAACUCUUCUGGAUGCCGGCCAAACAUCAACCAGAUUUCAUCUACCUGAGGCAUGUGCCUCUCCGGAAAGUCCAUCUCUUCACAGUCAUUCAGAUGAGUUGUCUUGGCCUUUUGUGGAUAAUCAAAGUUUCAAGAGCUGCUAUCGUCUUUCCUAUGAUGGUGUUGGCCCUGGUAUUUGUGAGAAAAUUGAUGGACUUCUUGUUUACCAAACGGGAACUCAGCUGGCUCGAUGACCUGAUGCCAGAGAGUAAGAAGAAGAAACUUGAGGAUGCUGAAAAAGAAGAGGAACAAAGUAUGCUGGCCAUGGAAGAUGAGGGCACAGUACAACUCCCACUAGAGGGACACUACCGAGAUGACCCAUCUGUGAUCAAUAUUUCUGAUGAAAUGUCAAAAACUGCCAUGUGGGGGAAUCUUCUGAUUACUGCGGACAACUCAAAAGAAAAGGAGUCACGCUUUCCUUCUAAAAGCUCCCCUUCCUAAUCACUCUAGAAGCUGAUUCCCCAAAGGGGGAAGCUUCUCUGAAGAUGGCUGAACAAGACACUGAUCUAUCAGUAUAGUACCCUGAAAGCCGAAAAGAGAAGAAAGCUGACUCAGGGAAAGGCGUUGACAGGGAGACUUGUCUGUGACUUGAUCUUCAACUUAUUUUUACCUAUGAGAAGAGUGUCACAGUUAUUAAUAAAACUGCUUUGAUCAUGUACUGUAAAUCCUCUCCCAUCCCAAAUCUACCUUCAUUCUGGAAGUAGUACAACCGCUGUUUCACUUCUGUGUUUAAUCUCUGAGCAGUGCGACACCCUUGUGAGCAGGUCCAAUGGCUAGGGCAAGACUCUCCCGUGUUCCUGCUGUAAGACAUCUGCCAACACAGGAUUCUUGUUGUCAGCAUUCCGAGAGCAAAGCGUUCUUUAAAAAAAAAUAAGUCAUAUUUGCCUAGUUUGUGUUUUCCUACCUUAGUAACCUGAAGAUGCCUGAUAAUUUUAUUCAGAAGAAUUUUGAAAGGUAGUCUUACUUUUUAUUUUUUAUAGCAUAGAAUUAGUGUCUUGUCUAGAAAGGCCCAAGUCAAAGAGUUACUCUGAAAGCAUUUUUAAUAAUUGUAUUUAUGUAUUUCCUUGACUCAAUAUCAUACAUUUAAUACUUAAUAUCUAACUAAUACUUCGAGUCAUUUCAGAAAGAGACCUGUUUAUACCUUCUUAAAAGACGUACUCUAAAGAGUCAAGUAGUGUUUGCUUAGAAUUCAAGUUGUAACCACACAGUCAAGUACUAGACUUAUACGAAAUGCUUCAGAGAUAUUUGAAGAGUUUUGUGGGGUUUUUCAUUUCAAAUUUUUACCAGAGAUGUGCUAUUGAACUUCUCUCCCAUUGACAACAGUUACUUCUCAAAUACACCUGUGACAUACAUACGGAAUGCCACGUGGUGAAUCAUUGUAUGUGAAAUGCCAUCCCUGUACAGCUGUUCUGCCGAUAAUGGUCACGUGCUGUUUCGUUUGGGUCCCUGUCAGGUUAUCAUGUUAGACCAACAGGUCUCCAAAUGUAACUGUUCUUUUGCAAAGCUCCUUUCCACAUUUUAACUAAGUGCAUGUUGUGGAAACACAGUCUUUGAACUAAAAUUUCAGAUUUUGUUAGAGAAGGUUAUGUAAAUAUUUCAGUCCAUACGCAACAGCCCAACUUUAUUCAGCUUAUUGAAAUGGGAAGGAAGUUGUGGAUUUAUGAGUACUACUAAGUAUAAAUUUCAUUUAACUUCAGAUAAAUGUGAGAUAGUAAAAAUAAAAUCUCAUAGGGCUCUUAAUUCCUAACAAUUAUCAAUGAUUGACAACCUUAUAACCUUUCAUUGUCCAAAUUUAGAAAAAUUCAGAGCCUUGUGGCUUUUAUAAACUAUGUGUACUUUAUGUAAAUGCAUAUAAUUGGAAAAUCCUCUUUGUUAUUAAGCUAAUGAGGAUGAAAACAACAAAGCCUACAUUAACACUUAAUAUUUUGAUAUCUUUUGAACAAAAAAAUUCCUUACAAUCCUUUAAGGAGUCAUUUUUUUAAUGAGACAUGAGCCAAAAUUAUGAGAAAAAUUUUCAGUUAGUAAAGUUUGUAUUUAUAAAUGGUGAAGAAAAAUGCAAAACUGUUCCAAAUGUGCUACCUUUGUGUAUGUUGUAAUACUGACACUCCAUCUAAAACAUCCUCACUGUCUAUGACUUAGCAGGUCAAGCCCCAAAGAAGUCUCCCAGUGUCUCCAUAGAGUAAUACCUGUUCUGUUAAAAAAUGACCAGUGAAUUACACUUCACAUGAUCACUGGUGUAAACAAUCAUCCUAUGAAAUUCUGUAUUUCUGAGUAUUUUUAUAGUAAUUUGUUCUUGUGUGAAUUUUAAUGCUAUCUCUAUCUUAAUAUUUUGAAAUCAUAUAAAAUAUAUGAAAAUGUAGUAUAUAUUUACUCCUAAUUUCAGAUUCCUGGUCAAAUUACUGAAUAUCUUGAAUGUAAUUUAUUGCAAUGUUUAAGUAAUAUGUAAAUGUGACUAGGAUAUUGUGUUUUUCAAAACUAAGAAAUGUUAUGUGGAAAUAAAUAUUUAUCCUAACUAA